rfam:Pontibacillus chungwhensis BH030062 contig2, whole genome shotgun sequence.
CGAGCCCUGCCAUGUACGUCAUUUCAGUAUGUCUCAAACCGAUGCUUGAACACAGGGAUCUUUACAUUUCAUACUUGCCAACACGCCCAAUGACUUGGGAAGUUGAAUGGUAUGAUGCGAGAACCCACCUGCCUACGCGGGUUUUGAGGCAACAGAAAGACGGCAGAGCGGGACGGCU